GACGAACGCUGGCGGCGUGCUUAACACAUGCAAGUCGAACGGAAAGGCCCUGCUUUUGUGGGUUUCUCGAGUGGCGAACGGGUGAGUAACACGUGUGUAACCUGCCCUUUACUUUGGGAUAUCUUCUGGUAACUGGGGCUAUUACCGUAUAUGAUCUCCUGCUGCAUGGUGGUCGUUGGUUAGUUUCGGCGGUUGGGGAUGGUCUCGCUGCUUAUCAGCUUGUUUGUGGGGUAGUGGCUUACCAAGGCUUUGACGGGUAGCCGGCAUGAGAGGGUGACCGGGAACAAUGGGACUGAGAGACGGCCCAGAAGGGAACGGGAGGCAGAAGGGGGGAAUAUUGCAGAAUGGGAGGAAGCGAGAUGAAGAAAAGCAGGGAGCGGGAAGAAGGGCUACGGGUGGAAAAAAGAUUUAGAAUGAGAAGAAGAGAGAGUGACGGUAAUGGGUAAAGAAGCAACGGCUAACUACGUG
rnacentral:rRNA from 1 species